rnacentral:rRNA from 1 species
GACGAACGCUGGCGGCGUGCUUAACACAUGCAAGUCGAACGGAAAGGCCCUGCUUUUGUGGGGUGCUCGAGUGGCGAACGGGUGAGUAACACGUGAGUAACCUGCCCUUGACUUUGGGAUAACUUCAGGAAACUGGGGCUAAUACCGGAUAGGAGCUCCUGCUGCAUGGUGGGGGUUGGAAAGUUUCGGCGGUUGGGGAUGGACUCGCGGCUUAUCAGCUUGUUGGUGGGGUAGUGGCUUACCAAGGCUUUGACGGGUAGCCGGCCUGAGAGGGUGACCGGCCACAUUGGGCCUGGGAUCCGGCCCGGACUCCUCCGGGAGGCAGCAGUGGGGAAUAUUGCACAAUGGGCGGAAGCCUGAUGCAGCAACGCCGCGUGCGGGAUGACGGCCUUCGGGUUGUAACCCGCUUUCGCCUGUGACGAAGCGUGAGUGACGGUAAUGGGUAAAGAAGCACCGGCUAACUACGUG